rnacentral:rRNA from 1 species
UACAGAGACUGCGAGCGUUAUUCGGAUUCACUGGGCGUAAAGGGUGCGCAGGCGGCCGAGUGUGUGAGGCGUGAAAGCCCGGGGCUUAACCCCGGAAUUGCACCUCAAACUACACGGCUAGAGCAUUGGAGAGGGUAGCAGAAUUCAUGGUGUAGCAGUGAAAUGCGUAGAUAUCAUGAGGAAUACCAGAGGCGAAAGGCGGCUACCUGGACAAUUGCUGACGCUCAGGCACGAAAGCGUGGGGAGCAAAAAGGG